rnacentral:rRNA from 1 species
UCGAGGGGCAGCGUGGAGUAGCAAUACUCUGACGGCGACCGGCGANNGGGUGAGUAACGCGUGAGCGACAUACCCGGUAGUGGAGAAUAGUCGAUGGAAACGUCGCGUAAUACUCCGUGACACAGGUGACCGCAUGAUUAUCUGUUAAUAGAUUUAUCGCUACCGGAUUGGCUCGCGUACCAUUAGCUAGUUGGCGGGGUAACGGCCCACCAAGGCGACGAUGGUUAGGGGUUCUGAGAGGAAGGUCCCCCACAUUGGAACUGAGACACGGUCCAGACUCCUACGGGAGGCAGCAGUGAGGAAUAUUGGACAAUGGCCGAGAGGCUGAUCCAGCCAUGCCGCGUGCGGGAAGACGGCCCUAUGGGUUGUAAACCGCUUUUGUUGGGGAGCAAUAAGGUCCACGUGUGGAUCGAUGAGAGUACCCAGCGAAUAAGCAUCGGCUAACUCCGUGCCAGCAGCCGCGGUAAUACGGAGGAUGCAAGCGUUAUCCGGAUUUAUUGGGUUUAAAGGGUGCGUAGGCGGAUGCCUAAGCGUGAGGUGAAAUCCCCGGGCUCAACCUGGGAACUGCCUCGCGAACUGGGUAUCUGGAAUGUCCGUGCCGUGGGAGGAAUGUGUGGUGUAGCGGUGAAAUGCAUAGAGAUCACACAGAACACCGAUUGCGAAGGCAUCUCACGAACGGAUGAUUGACGCUGAGGCACGAAAGCGUGGGGAUCAAACAGGAUUAGAUACCCUGGUAGUCCACGCAGUAAACGAUGAUAACUAACCGCUGGGCCUUCGGGUUC